GCCUGGAGUCCUCUUCAAGCAGCGCGCGGAGGAAAAGAGUGCCGGCGCACGGAAGGUAGUUGUACCGGCGAAAUCGAUUGGCGAAUCGUUCACACAGCUUUUGUUUUAAUCGUGCCACCAUAAUAAUCACAUGAGGCAACGGCUGUGAGCGAUUUAAACAUGUUUCCUCUAUUCUAACCACAUAUUCGACUUCCGUUUUGUAUUUCUGGUCAAGCUACAAUUUUAUCUGAGAGAUGAACAGAUAAAAUGUGCAGAUAUUUAUACGGAAUCGCCAGUUAUUGCAAAGAAUCGUAUUCUGUCUUCUGCUCUCAGCUAUUAUGUUGUGACCAUGAAUUUACCAUCCAGCUAAGCAAAUAUUGGAACACAUAACAAAUUUCGUUCGAUUAUACAACUAUGUUACAGGUUCAAAAUGCUCUACAAUGAUUUGGCAAGGCGAAUAUUCAUAUGGCAUUUUGUUUUGAAUACCUUUAUAUACAUUUUAUUAUACAAUUUAUACAAUUCUGAGAAAUCUUUCUUCUUGGACUUGAUCUCUUUGAAAUAUCUGAAAAAAUAGCAAUCAUGUAUUAAAAAUCUUGGCUUUGUAACAACUUUUAACUGCUCGUUGUUGAAACCUUCUGAAACGACGUUCAAUAUCCUGUAGCAACGCACUGGGCUGAAUGUAAUAACAUGAAUACCCAUUGUGUGAAUCUUAAAUAUAAUGUCAAUUUGAUAACGUUAGAAAUCCUUAACUCAAUGCUUCUUGGAUAUCAUUGUAUUCCUAACAGAGUACUAUCCUCUAAGUAAAUGGCACAUCUCUCCAUCUCUCUAAAUGUGGUAACUAAGAUCUACGGAUAACACCUUCUUGCUUAUAAUUUGUUAUCGACAUUGGAUAUCUGCUUCAUGAAAGCAUCAAAAUAAUCCAUGUGUACCAUUGGAAACAAAUUUGUCGGGUUGAAAUUUAAUAUUGGAGAGGCUUCCAAUAAAAUGGUUAAGAAGA